CAAAGUAAUACAAAUUUAUGCUCUGUCGGAUUUUAUGAUCGAGGAAGCAGAUGUGACAUUAUUAUAAGAAACACCUGCACUCUAUCAUAGAUGCCUGAAAGAGUUUUAAAUCUUCAGACGUGAA
rnacentral:precursor_RNA from 15 species